UAGCAACAUCAUUCCUAUCUUCUCUUCUUUUCUUCCUUGUACGACACACACUUACUAUCUCUUGAAUCUCUCCUCCUUUUUGACUUUUAAGAUUUUCCAAUUGAAGACCCAAAUUGACACCAAAAAAUUCUCUGACUCUCUAAAAUAAAAAAAUAAAAAAAUGCAUCAUCAUCAUCUCCAGACCCAAUCUCUCACCCCUCACUUCCCACUCUCUCAUCUCUUUCUCCCAAGACCCACAACCACCAGACUCCAUUUCCCUCGCCAAUUCCCCUUAAGAUCCUCUCUUUCCACUGUUUCAGAACCCCAUGCCCAUGUCUCUUCCUCCACCGACAGGCCGUUCCCGGCCGAGGUCUCUAGAACCAUAAUGGAGUUAUCUUCAGUCGCUACUCUCUCUACUUUGACCCGCGAUAAUUGGCCUCUUGGUGUUGGUGUUCGCUUUGCUGUGGAUGAUGAUGGCACUCCCAUUUUGUGUUUCAAUCACUCCCAUACUCACUUCUCUCUUGAUACCAAGUCUACCCUUCACGUUCAGUUUGAGCAGUGUGGAAUGCGGACCCCACAAUGCACAAUUCAGGGCUGCCUUCACAAGCCAGAGGACAGUAAGCUCGUCAAGGAUCUUGUUGGCAUGUCAAAAUGGGAAUUUCUAGUGCUAGUGCUGGUUCAAGUGAAAGUUCUACAACAAGUCUCAGGGAAAAGAAAUCCUACCUGCUUAAGAGAGGAUGGUUUUCAAAGGCUGGGGAAAUUACAAAUGGCACCUACAAAUGUGAUUAAUUCAGGUGGCAUCAAUCAAUAUGGAAAAAGAGGUUUGGUGAAGAUGUGGAUGAUGAUCUCAUACAUGUUAUUGCUGUUGAUCGGGUACUUCAAAUGGAAGACUACAUGGAGGAUGGUGUAUGGGUUACUUCAUUGGAUUACAAAGAAGCAAUUCCUGAUCCACUCAGAGAUUCAGCGGAAGCAAUUGUUAGUGAGAUAAAUGCCAAGAACAGUGAAGAUGUUUACCGCUUUUGCAACAUAUAUGUGGAUUUGGAUUUCCAGAAAUGAUGGUUAUCAAAAGUUUCUCGUCAAAUGGGUAGGCUGUCCACAACCCGAUUGUCCGUGGAUAACUGAAGAAGAGUUACAAAGACUUGAUCCUUAUCUUUAUGAUCAAUUUCAUGCUUUUAACGCGACGGAGUCGGGUUCUUUCAAGCCGAGGAGAAUGAUGGGACAUGUAGGUAACAUGUUUACAAACUAUGUGCCAAACAUGGUUCAAAUGCUCAAGCACUUGUUUGGAACAUGGAGGGGUGAUGGGGAGGCUGAUUGGGAACUUUAUUAUGUUUGGGAAAUCUCAUUCCUGGCUGUAACAGUUAUUGAUCAGUUAUCAGUUUUUUUGUCUUUCCUUUCCUAUUCCUCUGUUUCAGAUCUGAAUUUCUGUCAAAUUAGACCUGGAUCCAACUUUAAAUCCUUUAUUUUCCGUGAAAA